CUGCGAAUAUUCUUGCUCUUCUGAUUGUAUCAUAAUCAGGGCAGGCUAAACAUUUGCUACAGUAAGACCAUGCAUGUAUUCCCAGACCUCAAUCUUUCCCUAGGUCUGGUUUGAUAAAUGCUAGUGAUAAGC
ensembl:snoRNA SNORA72 Small nucleolar RNA SNORA72